UUCAGUUGGGCACUCUAAGGUGACUGCCGGUGACAAACCGGAGGAAGGUGGGGAUGACGUCAAAUCAUCAUGCCCCUUAUGACCUGGGCUACACACGUGCUACAAUGGACAGAACAAAGGGCAGCGAAACCGCGAGGUUAAGCCAAUCCCACAAAUCUGUUCUCAGUUCGGAUCGCAGUCUGCAACUCGACUGCGUGAAGCUGGAAUCGCUAGUAAUCGCGGAUCAGCAUGCCGCGGUGAAUACGUUCCCGGGCCUUGUACACACCGCCCGUCACACCACGAGAGUUUGUAACACCCGAAGU
rnacentral:rRNA from 1 species